rnacentral:rRNA from 1 species
UACGUAGGGUGCAAGCGUUGUCCGGAAUUAUUGGGCGUAAAGAGCUCGUAGGCGGUCUGUCGCGUCGGCUGUGAAAACCCGGAGCUCAACUCCGGGCCUGCAGUCGAUACGGGCAAACUGGAGUGUUGCAGGGGAGACUGGAAUUCCUGGUGUAGCGGUGAAAUGCGCAGAUAUCAGGAGGAACACCGGUGGCGAAGGCGGGUCUCUGGGCCGAUAUUGACGCUGAGGAGCGAAAGCGUGGGGAGCGAACAGG